GGACCCAAGGGGUCAUCUUUAUUAUCACAAAGAUUCUGAAGAGAAGUGAGAUGUCUGACUUAAGAUCAUAUUACUUAUUACUGGCAAAGUCUGAGUUUGAAUGAUUUCCUUAUUUUCUGAUUCAACACAUUUAUUCUCACUUUUCCAUGAUAAACCUGUUUACUAAGGAUUUAGCUGUUAUUUUUCCAGUGCUAUAAAUGAAUGUGAAUAUUUAUGUUAUAAACUUUUCAGAAAUGGAUGUGGCUGUGCAUUAACACCAGAUCUCACCAGGGAAGCUGCUUCCCAUGUGGGGCUGCCUCAUCCAUGUCUGCUUUUGGGGCCUGGUGUUCAACUGUCAACUGGGAACCAGGCAAACAAUACACUACUGGAAGAGAAUUAGAACAUCUGCCUAGAGUCCCUUAGUUAAUGAAAAAGGUCCCAAAUGUGGGGAGCAGGAGCCCAAUCCGUUCUUCUUGAGUCGUUAAAAUACUACUGGCUAAAGUACUGCUGUGAUAAAGUGCUGUGGAGCGGGGUGACUAAGAGAAGGACGAACACACAUCAAAGGAACAAGCAUAACCUGGAUUCUGUAGCUGUAUAAAAUCCCACCUCUCCUAUGAUAUGAUUCAUUAUUAUAAACUGAGGCCAAGAGAAGGAAACAAACGGACUAUAUAUACAGUGACUGAAUAAAUACCAUGUGCCAGCAGUGACCUAGGACCUUUACACGCAUGAUCCCAUUACGUCCUUGCAAGAAGCCUGUAAGGUGCUGAUUCCAAAAGCAUUCUGUAAUAAACACCCCACAGGCUAGUCUUUGUCUCAGAGACUGCUUUCCAGGGAACUUCAUCAGAAGGAGUCAUCUAAAGUCCCCUUUUGUGUUUGAAGUUUGUCUUCAUAAACCGUUUGGGCUGAGAUAUGAGGAUGAUCACAAGUUUAAAGCUUAAACAGCAAAGGAGAAGCUCAAGGAUAUACCCCUUGAAAUAAAAGCACCUGAUUCAAAGAACCGGUGUAUAUUCUAUGGCCAAUCAACAUUGCUCAACAUUGAUCUCCUUGGCUUCGUGCAUCAAUUGAGUUAAUUUUGCUUAAACCUUGUUUGCAUCUGUCAUUUGCCUGCUUGGAAACCUCUCACACAUACUUGGGCCUUAUGGCCCAAGCUGAACUCUCUCGACUGUCAGUCAAGCCCUGCCCACUUCCACCUGGAUGCUGAUGAGGAAGAGAGUAUGAAGAAGGCAACUUGCUUCUGAACAUUCUUAGCCUGCUGCAUGUCAUUGGUGAGAACUAAUCAGAUGACCCUACCUAAGUUGCAAGAGCCUCUGGGAAAUGUAGUCCUUUGCGGGGCAGCCACUUCCCUUAUGCCCUAAUGCCAAAUAGAUUUUUGCUAGAAGGUUAGUGAUUUCUGUUAGUAAGAUGAACGGAACUAAAUUAGAACCUAGACUUCUGACUCUGAAAUCUAGGCCUUUAACUACCAUGUUGUUUGGAGGCUAAACACCUAGUUUCCCUACAGAUUACAAAUGGUUAAUGGAUUUCAGCCAAGCACCACUAAGCCAUUAACCUUAAUACCCUAUGAGGUUGUGUUGUCUGUUAGAAACUCUGGGUUGGUGCCAAUGCCUUCUGAAGUUCCACUUCCCCCAGCUCCUGAGCCAUCUGCGUGCCAGUGAGAGCCCAGAAAUCCGCCUGGAGCCCCUCAGUGGGUAGAGUUAGGGAAGAAGCUACUGCCUUCCAAGUGAAAUCGCCAUAGCUCUGAGGGUCCCAGGUCUCAUGUGAAGGAGAAAGAAGCCAUUCUUGAGGGUUGGAAUUGAUUGAGAUGAUGAUUGAAUUCGAGCUCCAAGGCCUUGCCCUGUCUCAUCAAUUAUACUACCACUUUUCCUGAGGGCCACCAGACAGAUGUUCCUUCACUUCAGUAGGGAGAUACCCAGAGUGUAUUUGGUACUUGAUUCCCAAGCAUAAGUGGGUUUCUCCUUCUUAGAUUGAAUAUUGGGAUUAGGUCUUUUGACUGGUUUAUUGCCCAGAGCAUCGUCUAGAAUGUUGCUAUUGGAGUCCUGAGGCUUUUCUUUUUUAAUUCUUUUUUAAGUUCAUGAAUUUAAUUUGAGAGAGGCAGAGACAGUGCAAGUGGGGGAGGGGCAGCGAGAGAUGGAGGGAGAAUCCUAAGCAUGCUUUGUACUGCCAGUGCAGAGCCCGAUGUGGGGCAAACCCACGAAACCACAAGAUCAUGACCUGAGCCAAAACCAAGAGUUGGGCACUUAACCGACUCAGCCAUCCGGGUGCCCCAAUGCCCUGAGUUUUAAAAGAAUAAUCCUAUAGGGGCGUCUGGGUGGCUUGGUCGGUUAAGCCUCCGACUUCGGCUCAGGUCAUGAUCUCACGGUCCGUGAGUUCGAGCCCCGCGUCGGGCUCUGUGCUGACCGCUCAGAGCCUGGAGCCUGUUUCGGAUUCUGUGUCUCCCUCUCUCUCUGCCCCUCCCGUUCAUUCUCUGUCUCUCUCUGUCUCAAAAAUAAAUAAACGUUAAAAAAAAAUUUUUUUUUGAAAAAAAAAAAAAAAGAACAAUCCUAUAAUUAGGGAAGAGGGUGUUCUGGCAGAUGUCAGCCAUGUCUUCUAGAAGAACCGAGAACAAUGCUGCUACUG